rnacentral:rRNA from 1 species
CUUUCAGCAGGGAAGAAUAGGUGUAAUAGUAACUGAUUACAUUAUGACGGUACCUGCAGAAGCAGCUCCGGCUAACUCCGUGCCAGCAGCCGCGGUAAUACGGAGGGGGCAAGCGUUGUUCGGAGUCACUGGGCGUAAAGCGCACGUAGGCGGAUAUGCAAGUCAGGAGUUAAAGGCGUCGGCUCAACCGGCGUACGGCUUUUGAAACUGCAUGUCUAGAGUAUUAGAGAGGAAUGCGGAAUUUCCGGUGUAGCGGUGAAAUGCGUAGAUAUCGGAAGGAACACCAGUUGCGAAGGCGGCAUUCUGGCUAAUAACUGACGCUGAGGUGCGAGAGCAUGGGUAGCAAACAGGAUUAGAUACCCUGGUAGUCCAUGCUGUAAACGAUGGUCGCUAGGUGUUGGGGUGUAUGAGCUUCAGUGCCGAAGCAAACGCGUUAAGCGACCCGCCUGG